rnacentral:rRNA from 1 species
AGUGAACGCUGGCGGUAGGCCUAACACAUGCAAGUCGAACGGCAGCACAGUAAGAGCUUGCUCUUUCGGGUGGCGAGUGGCGGACGGGUGAGGAAUACAUCGGAAUCUACUUUUUCGUGGGGGAUAACGUAGGGAAACUUACGCUAAUACCGCAUACGACCUACGGGUGAAAGCAGGGGAUCUUCGGACCUUGCGCGAUUGAAUGAGCCGAUGUCGGAUUAGCUAGUUGGCGGGGUAAAGGCCCACCAAGGCGACGAUCCGUAGCUGGUCUGAGAGGAUGAUCAGCCUCACUGGAACUGAGACACGGUCCAGACUGCUACGGGAGGCAGCAGUGGGGAAUAUUGGACAAUGGGCGAAAGCCUGAUCCAGCCAUACCGCGUGGGUGAAGAAAGACUUCGGGUUGUAAAGCCCUUUUGUUGGGAAAGAAAAGCAGCAGGUUAAUACCCCGCUGUUCUGACAGUACCCAAAGAAUAAGCACCGGCUAACUUCGUG